rfam:Micromonospora sp. CB01531 scaffold94, whole genome shotgun sequence.
GAAGAGCUCUACGUCGAAGGGGCUAGCGACCCACGGCGGCCCCGAGCCAUGCGCUGGCGUCCGUGAGGGUGUCGGUGAAGCGUUGGUAGGGGUACGUGCAGGCCGGGCUAUUGAGCCUCGAAAUAACGGGAUUGGGGUGCCCACGCUGUCACGCAGGCGGAAGGCAACACUGUCGAGGGCGUUUUCGCGAGCUGUCGGCGGGCCCCGCGGGGUCAGAGAACC